rnacentral:tRNA from 1 species
GCCGCGAUGGCUCAGGUCGGUAGAGCGGCUGCCUUGUAAGCAGCAAGUCGGGGGUUCAAAUCCCUCUCGCGGCU